GACGAACGCUGGCGGCGUGCUUAACACAUGCAAGUCGAACGGAAAGGCCCCUUUGGGGGUACUCGAGUGGCGAACGGGUGAGUAACACGUGAGUAACCUGCCCUUGACUUCGGGAUAACUUCAGGAAACUGGGGCUAAUACCGGAUAGGAAUCCUUGCUGCAUGGUGGGGGUUGGAAAGCUUCGGCGGUUUUGGAUGGACUCGCGGCUUAUCAGCUUGUUGGUGGGGUAGUGGCUUACCAAGGCUUUGACGGGUAGCCGGCCUGAGAGGGCGACCGGCCACAUUGGGACUGAGAUACGGCCCAGACUCCUACGGGAGGCAGCAGUGGGGAAUAUUGCACAAUGGGCGGAAGCCUGAUGCAGCAACGCCGCGUGCGGGAUGACGGCCUUCGAGUUGUAAACCGCUUUCAGCAGGGGCGAAGCUUGUGGUGACGGUACCUGCAGAAGAAGCACCGGCUAACUACGUG
rnacentral:rRNA from 1 species